GUAAUAUAUAUAUAAUUAUUAUGUAAUAUAUAAUGGCUAUGGCUAUAAGCCAACUUUCUUUUUGUGAAUGUUUCAAAAAAUGAUUUUAGAAUCCGAUUGAAUCUAAGAUACGAAUAGUUGGUUUACGUUAUGGAAAGGGACGUGUAUAUGGAAUAUUAAGUAUUAACUAGUUAUAUAUGAGUUAAAAGAUAUAUCUAAUCUGCCCGACUACUGGAGAUUUAGAUAGGGAUUCCAAUAAAAGUCCUUUCUUUUCGUUUGUAACUGUGAAUUGAAUA
rnacentral:misc_RNA from 1 species